UAAAAAUGUAAAAUUUUAAUUAAAAAAUUAAUAGAUAUGAUCUUUAAAUUUAAAAAAUUUGGCGGUAUUUUAGUCUAUUCAGAGGAACCUGUUCUAUAAUUGAUAAUCCACGAUUAGAAAUACUUAAUUUACAAGUUUGUAUAUCGUUGUUUAAAUAAUUUUAUAAGAAAAAUAAUUAUUAAGGUAUUUAAUUAAAUAAAUAAUCAAAUCAAGGUGCAGUUUAUAUUUAAGAAGAAAUGGGUUACAAUAAAAAUUAUUUAUAUGAAUUAUAUUAUUAAAUUAAUAUAUAAAGGAGGAUUUGAUAGUAAAUAUAUAUAUAUUUAUAUAUUGAUUAUAGCUCUAUAAUAUGU
rnacentral:rRNA from 1 species